rnacentral:rRNA from 1 species
AUGGCAAAAGCACCAAUGGACAAGCUUCUACUCUCCCACAUUCACGUAGCGAUAUUAGCUGCCCUUCUCUUGCUCACCCAUGGAAAGGGGUUUAUAGAAUCAUCAUCAUCAUCAUCAUCAUCAUGUUGCCAUCUAAACGAUACAGUCACCGGCUGUAUCGCCCACGAGAGAUCCGCGCUUGUCGGCUUCAAAGCAGGCCUCUUGGACCCUGCGAACCUCCUUUCAUCGUGGAAGGGUGAUGACUGCUGCAAAUGGAAGGGUGUCUACUGUAGCAGCAGAAACAACCACGUUGUCAAGCUCGAUCUCCCGGGCCAUGGUUGCGACCAUAAUGACGAUACGAUGACGCAAGUGCUGGGAGGCAACAUCAGCUCCUCGUUGCUUGGUUUGCAACAACUAAAGUAUCUCAACCUCAGCUGCAAUGGGUUCGAUGGGGUGCAAAUACCAAAGUUCAUAGGUUCUCUCCACAAGUUGAGAUACAUCGACCUAUCUAUGUCAAUGUUCACGGGAAGGAUACCACCGCAGCUGGGAAAUCUCUCCAGCCUACGGUACUUAAAUCUCGCUUCUAAUACAUACUCCAAUGGUAUCACCUGGCUGUCACGGUUAACUUCCCUUGAGCACCUAGACCUGACCUUUGUGGACCUCAGUACAGUUGUGCACUGGCUUCCGGUGAUGAACAUGCUUCCAUCUCUGAAAGUUCUUUACCUCCGCAAUUGUUUCCUUAGAACUAGCUCUGGAUUACUUCAGCUUUCAAAUCUGACAUCUCUUGAAAGACUAGACCUUUCUGCCAAUAACUUCCGUACAUAUAUCACACCCAACUGGUUUUAG